rnacentral:rRNA from 1 species
UACGUAGGUGGCAAGCGUUUACUCGGAAUCACUAGGCGUAAAGCGCAGGUAGGAGGUUUGGUAAGUCUGUUGUGAAAGCUCCCGGCUUAACUGGGAGAGGUCAACGGAAACUACUAGGCUAGAGUGCGGUAGAGGUAGCUGGAAUUCCCGGUGUAGCGGUGAAAUGCGUAGAUAUCGGGAGGAAUACCUAUGGCGAAAGCAGGCUACUGGACCGUCACUGACUCUGAUCUGCGAAAGCUAGGGGAGCAAACAGG